AGUCGAGCGAGCAAUUUUAACGGAAUACCUUCGGGUAGGAAGAUAAAAGCGCGAGCGGCGGAUGGGUGAGUAACACGUGGGCAACCUGCCCUUUAGCUUGGGAUACCACUUGGAAACAGGUGCUAAUACCAAAUAAGAAGCAAGAGCGCAUGCUCAAGCUAUGAAAGGCGGCUUUCGAGCUGUCACUAAAGGAUGGGCCCGCGGUGCAUUAGCUAGUUGGUAAGGUAACGGCUUACCAAGGCAAUGAUGCAUAGCCGAGUUGAGAGACUGAUCGGCCACAUUGGGACUGAGACACGGCCCAAACUCCUACGGGAGGCAGCAGUAGGGAAUCUUCCACAAUGGACGCAAGUCUGAUGGAGCAACGCCGCGUGAGUGAAGAAGGUUUUCGGAUCGUAAAGCUCUGUUGUUGGUGAAGAAGGAUAAGGAUAGUAACUGAUUCUUAUUUGACGGUAAUCAACCAGAAAGUCACGGCUAACUACGUGCCAGCAGCCGCGGUAAUACGUAGGUGGCAAGCGUUGUCCGGAUUUAUUGGGCGUAAAGCGAACGCAGGCGGGAGAACAAGUCAGCUGUGAAAGCCCUCGGCCUAACCGGGGAAGUGCAGCUGAAACUGUUUUUCUUGAGUGCAGAAGAGGAGAGUGGAACUCCAUGUGUAGCGGUGGAAUGCGUAGAUAUAUGGAAGAACACCAGUGGCGAAGGCGGCUCUCUGGUCUGUAACUGACGCUGAGGUUCGAAAGCAUGGGUAGCGAACAGGAUUAGAUACCCUGGUAGUCCAUGCCGUAAACGAUGAGUGCUAAGUGUUGGGGGGUUUCCGCCUCUCAGUGCUGCAGCUAACGCAUUAAGCACUCCGCCUGGGGAGUACGACCGCAAGGUUAAAACUCAAAGGAAUUGAC
rnacentral:rRNA from 1 species